rnacentral:rRNA from 1 species
AUGUUGGCCAAGAAACCAUCUUCGACUAUAACGAUUUUCCAAGGGUACGAGAUAAAUGGGAAUACAUUUUACACCAUCGCCCAAGAUAAAAAGAGCACCAACCAAAACAGUGGUGUCCGCUUUGAUGGAGCAACCGAGAAUGGGCGAAAGGUCACAUAUUAUGGUUACAUAGAGGAGAUAUGGGAACUUGACUAUGGACCCUCCUUUAAGGUCCCUUUGUUCCGGUGCAAAUGGUUCAAGCUAACAGGAGGUGGGGUAAAGGUGGACGAGCAAUACGGAAUGACAAUGGUGGAUUUCAACAAUCUUGGUUACCUUGACGAACCAUUCGUCCUUGCCAAAGAUGUCGCUCAGGUUUUUUAUUUGAAGGACAUGAGUAGCAAACCGAGGAAACGGAAAGAUAAGAAAACGAUCAGUACAUCAUGCGAUGAUCCAAAGCGCCACAUUGUUCUUUCAGGGAAAAGAAACAUCGUGGGAGUGGAGGACAAGACAGACAUGUCAGAAGAUUAUAAUAUGUUUGGUGAAAUUCCGCCCUUCAAAGUGAACACUGACCCAAGCAUUAAGUUAAAUGAUGAGGAUGCUCCAUGA